rnacentral:lncRNA from 1 species
UCUCCUUUGGGCAACUGCUUAAAUUCAGAGGCAGCUACCAAAAGGAAACGUCUCUCUACCCCCUACUGUUUCUUCUGUGCAAAAGAAUGUAAAAUAUGAGGCUUCUCUUUCGCAUAGAAAACAGAAGAAAAGUUGCAACAGAGUGAAAAAUCAGGAAAACCUCAUCGAGAUAGAUAUUCUGCCAGAGACAAAACGAAACCUCAUCGAGAUAGAUAUUCUGCCAGAGAAAAAUGAGACAUCAGAUAUGUGUGAUCACAGGUCAUAGACUCAGUGAAGUGCCACUGUCACAAUGCUCUCAUGCCAAACCUUGACUGCAAAGCUGAGAUGUUAAUAUGGAACACCUGAGAGGGCUGGCACUUCAGCGUCCUUAUUCCUCCAGAACCACACCACAAAAGUCACCUUCUCCCCAGACAGAUUCUCUACAAAAUGCCUUGCAGCCGAGGUGUGGUGGAAAGAAUAUUGUAUUUGGAAUAAAAAAUUUUUGAUUUUGC